CCUACGGGGGGCAGCAGUGAGGAAUAUUGGUCAAUGGGCUUACGCCUGAACCAGCCAAGUCGCGUGAGGGAAGACUGCCCUAUGGGUUGUAAACCUCUUUUGUCAGGGAGCAACGCCGGCUACGUGUAGCCGGACUGAGAGUACCUGAAGAAAAAGCAUCGGCUAACUCCGUGCCAGCAGCCGCGGUAAUACGUGGGUGGCAAGCGUUAUCCGGAUUUAUUGGGUUUAAGGGGUGCGUAGGCGGUCCGGAAGUUCAGCGGUAAAAGCCCGGGGCUAACCGCCGGCGAGCCGUUGAAACUGUCGGACUAGAGACGGCGUGAGGUACGCGGAAUGCGCGGUGUAGCGGUGAAAUGCAUAGAUAUCGCGCAGAACUCCGAUUGCGAAGGCAGCGUACCGGCGCCGGACUGACGCUGAGGCACGAAAGCGUGGGUAUCGAACAGGAUUAGAUACCCCUGUAGUC
rnacentral:rRNA from 1 species